UGACACGAUGGCGCCAACUAACCAAAGUAUGCCCCUCCAUAAGCACGGCCGCCGGCGUCCCCCUUGACAAUGUUGCCGAGCGAGAGCCAACCCAAUGUCGCGCACACGGGAAUCGCGACUACGCCACAGACGGGCGACAGGACAAAGGCAAACAGAGGGCAGAUGCCCAUCGCCCCUGUCGCGGCGCCGAAAAACCCUCUGCGCGCCGCGCCAAACAUCAUGCCGCCACACGAACCUCUAGAGUCGCCAGUGCUCACGCUCAGCCAUGCACCAGUCACGCCUCCUCCAAUGAGAAGGGCGACGGCGGCCGCGGCCGCGGCGUCGGAUUCAGGCGGGCGGCAUUGUGGCAGGCGACACGCCGAUGGACGCCUCUGGAGGGCGCCCGCGGAAUGCCUGGUGGCGUGACGUCCGACGGGACGGAAGGCGGCUAGUGAGGUCGUGGCGCGGCGCAUGAUCAAAGGUCCAGUCUACCGGUGUUUAUUUGGUCUCGAUGUUGGGCGCGUCGACCAAGAAAAAGGUUGUGCGUUGACUAUCCAUCGAUUCGCUCUGUC
rnacentral:lncRNA from 1 species